GAUGAACGCUGGCGGCGUGCUUAACACAUGCAAGUCGAACGAAGCACUUUGGACGGAUUCUUCGGAUGAAGUCCUUAGUGACUGAGUGGCGGACGGGUGAGUAACGCGUGGGUAACCUGCCUCAUACAGGGGGAUAACAGUUAGAAAUGGCUGCUAAUACCGCAUAAGCGCACAGUACUGCAUGGUACAGCGUGAAAAACUCCGGUGGUAUGAGAUGGACCCGCGUUGGAUUAGCUAGUUGGCAGGGUAACGGCCUACCAAGGCGACGAUCCAUAGCCGGCCUGAGAGGGUGGACGGCCACAUUGGGACUGAGACGCGGCCCAGACUCCUACGGGAGGCAGCAGUGGGGAAUAUUGCACAAUGGGGGAAACCCUGAUGCAGCGACGCCGCGUGAGCGAAGAAGUAUUUCGGUAUGUAAAGCUCUAUCAGCAGGGAAGAAAAUGACGGUACCUGACUAAGAAGCCCUGGCUAACUACGUGCCAGCCGCCGCAGUAACAC
rnacentral:rRNA from 1 species